rnacentral:lncRNA from 1 species
CGGACUAGCACCCCUCAGAGAUGAGACGCUGAGGAAUGUGGAAAGGACUUUUGAGUUCUUUCUGUGAGCUCUGGGACUUAGCAAACCUAUAUGGUCCUGGCUCCAGUUUUCCACAAGCAGACUGUCCUUAGGAGCCACCACGUCCCCAGAGGCACGGAGGCCCACGACUGUCACUUCCUCUCCAAGCCUGUCUGCAGAGGACCCAACACAGCUCUCCAAAGCCAAAGCAGACUUCUUAUCCACAGUGAAAUCAACUGGACCAGAAAACAGCUCUGCACAUCCGGCUGUUGGAGCCUGUUUGGGCUGGACACAGCUCUGGUCUUCCUCAUGAACAGGUCUCCCCAAGCUCUUCCUCUCCCCGGCCUGGCUGGGGCUCUAGUGACAGUUGCAAGAAGGAUGUUUUGGUCAAAGGGCACUAAGCAUCGUAUAUUAUUCCAGGAUUCCCCCGGGCAUUUACUGUGCCUGUCUUCCAUUGCUACCAGAGAUGCCUUACAGGAUGCUUCUCUGGCCCAUCCCUUAUCAUCUUGAAAAUGGACAUUUGAAGAGACAGAACUCACAGUGUUCUCCAUCCCAAGGUCCAGUGAAUGGCACUGUGCUGCCCAAUGCCUACAGCUACUCAACACUAGGCAAGAAGGCACGUGACUCUCUACUUGUAGAAUAGGAGAAUAAAGUUCACAGUGGUCCUGUGUAAUC